rnacentral:rRNA from 1 species
GAGUUUGAUCCUGGUUCAGAUUGAACGCUGGCGGCAGGCCUAACACAUGCAAGUCGAGCGGCAGCGGGAAAGUAGCUUGCUACUUUUGCCGGCGAGCGGCGGACGGGUGAGUAAUGCCUGGGAAAUUGCCCAGUCGAGGGGGAUAACAGUUGGAAACGACUGCUAAUACCGCAUACGCCCUACGGGGGAAAGCAGGGGACCUUCGGGCCUUGCGCGAUUGGAUAUGCCCAGGUGGGAUUAGCUAGUUGGUGAGGUAAUGGCUCACCAAGGCGACGAUCCCUAGCUGGUCUGAGAGGAUGAUCAGCCACACUGGAACUGAGACACGGUCCAGACUCCUACGGGAGGCAGCAGUGGGGAAUAUUGCACAUUGGGGGAAACCCUGAUGCAGCCAUGCCGCGUGUGUGAAGAAGGCCUUCGGGUUGUAAAGCACUUUCAGCGAGGAGGAAAGGUUGAUGCCUAAUACGUAUCAACUGUGACGUUACUCGCAGAAGAAGCACCGGCUAACUCCGUGCCAGCAGCCGCGGUAAUAC